rnacentral:rRNA from 1 species
AAAACUUUCAACAACGGAUCUCUUGGCUCUGGCAUCGAUGAAGAACGCAGCGAAAUGCGAUAAGUAAUGUGAAUUGCAGAAUCUAGUGAAUCAUCGAAUCUUUGAACGCACAUUGCGCCCCUUGGUAUUCCGGGGGGCAUGCCUGUUCGAGCGUCAUU